AUGACUCAGACUCCGGAAUAUAUCUCAGUGUCUCCAGGAGAGAAUGUGGUGAUACAUUGUAAAUCGAGUGCUACUGUUACUGGUGGCUCUGGUACAAGUUAUGUACACUGGUAUCAGAAGAAACAAGAUCAUCCCCCAACACUUCUCAUCUAUGAGGCAAUCAAUCGUCAGUCUGGAGUCCCGGAGAGGUUCAGCGGCAGUAGAUCGGGAUCUCCAUACAAUGAUUUCACUCUGACAAUCAGUGGAGCUCUGGCAGAAGAUGAAGCACAUUAUUACUGUCAGCAGGGUUGGGAAGCACCACACACAGUGAUACAGAGCCGUACAAAAACCUCCUUCCUCUUUUAUAUUUUGCUGUGCAAAUUAAUUUCCCUUUUAUAUCACAUUCAGAAAACAGUGUACUGA